rnacentral:lncRNA from 1 species
CUAAGAGGAGGGGAUGAAAGCCCUAGGCGGCUUAGAGCGGGGACAGUUUAUGACAGGGGCGGCUGCAGCUGGUGACAUUCUUAGAGAAGUUAUUUCUCAUACCCCUGGGAAGCUGCCUGCUCUUUCCCCGACGGAAGUACCCAAGAAGUCCCCUGUGUAUGACAAAGCAUCUGUCCUUGAGAUACAGUCUGCCAGCUGGCCGGAGCAAGGCCUUCAGCCAAAACAGUGGACAAUAUGCAAAGAAGUCAAAAUGAAGCGCCUGAGUGUGGGAUGGCGAGUGAACGGUCAGUCCGGGCAUCACUAAUGGACAGCCGUCACGUCCGUGAAGCAGACCCUAACAUCACUGCCGGGGUCAGCAGUCAGUUCCUGAGCCCCCGUGGUGUGCCAGGCACUGGCCUGGGCACCGGGGAUGCCCUGGGGCCACUGCCAGUGACCAGGGAGCGCCACUGCUGCCCCGGUGCAGCACACCCACUGGUGUCUGGACAUUUUUGUAUUUGUUUAUUUACAUAGCGUCUGUAUUCAGAGAAGAGUCAAGGCUGUUUAUGAUUAAGAAGUACAUGAACCCCAAAACCAGAUUAAAGGCUGCGGUCCACGUGGUAAAGGAAACUGGGGCGGAAGAAGAGUCGCAGCUGAAAGUCUGGAUUCAAGGCGGCCCUGCCACCUCUGAGGCUGCGCCUCGGCUCUGCCCUGCCCACUGGGAGGUCAGAGAAGGAAGCAUGUGUGUGCUGGCCUCACUCCUGGAAUCAGCCUUGCUCCAGCGCACGGGGUUCUGAAGCAGCAAGUGCUGGCUCCGUUCGCACACGUGUCCUCUCCGCAGGAAUGCUCAGCCUCCUUGCCCUGGGUAAAUACCACCGGCCAGGUUUCAAGAUCCAUUACUCACUCAGUGUCCAGAGAUGCCUGCCCUGACCCUGCGUCAGGGCCAGAGAGCCCCUCCUGAUGCCCAGGCCUCUUCCUAGCUCUGUCCCAGGCGGCUCUGGGGACUGGAGCUGUCCCUGUGUCCUCCCUGCUGGCUCCUGAGCUGCUCCGGGGCAGGGCACGUAGUAGGAACGCAUAGCAUAUUCUUGGCGACAGCAGUUCUUAAUGAAGGGGUCCGUGCUGUGGCGUAGCAGGUAAGGCCGCCACCUGCAGUGCUGGCAUCCCGUAUGGUUGCAGGUUCGAGUCCCAGCUGCUCCACUUCUGAUCCAGCAUCCUGCUAAUGCUCCUGGGAAAGCAGCAGAGGAUGGCCCAAGUGCUUGAGGCCCCUGCAUCCACGUGGGAGACCUGGGCUCCUGGCUUCAGCCUGGCCCAGCCCUGGCCUUUGCAGCCAUCUGGGGAAUAAGCCAGCAGGGGCAAGAUCUCUCUUUGCCUCUCCCUGUCUCUUUCUGUUCUGUAACUCUGCUUUUCAAGUAAAUAAAUCUUUUUUAAAAAAAACA